rnacentral:misc_RNA from 1 species
UCCGGUUUAUCACGCGGCAGUCUCGCUAGAGUUCCCAACUGAAUGAUGGUAACUAGCGACAGGGGUUGCGCUCGUUGCCGGACUUAACCGAACACCUCACAGCACGAGCUGACGACAGCCAUGCAGCACCUGUCAUCGGGUUCCUUCGUGAGAAGGCACCCCCGUGUUUCCACAGGGCUCCCGAGAUGUCAAGCCUGGGUAAGGUUCUGCGCGUUGCUUCGAAUUAAUCCACAUAAUCCACCGCUUGUGCGGGUCCCCGUCAAUUCCUUUGAGUUUUAACCUUGCGGCCGUACUCCCCAGGCGGUCAACUUCACGCGUUAGCUUCGUUACCAAGGAAUUGCUUCCCCGACAACCAGUUGACAUAGUUUAGGGCGUGGACUAC